UACGUAGGUGGCAAGCGUUGUCCGGAUUUACUGGGCGUAAAGAGCGCGCAGGCGGUCGAGUAAGUCGAAUGUGAAAGCCCCCGGCUUAACUGGGGAGGGUCAUUCGAUACUGUUCGACUUGAAGGCAGGAGAGGGCAGCAGAAUUCCCGGUGUAGUGGUGAAAUGCGUAGAUAUCGGGAGGAAUACCAGUGGCGAAGGCGGGUUGCUAGGCUGACACUGACGCUGAGUGCGCGAAAGCCAGGGGAGCAAACGGG
rnacentral:rRNA from 1 species